CACGGCCCCCUGGGGCGCUGACAGCACCACUGCCGCGCUGUCACAGCAUGACCACCGGCCCCACGCCGCGACAGCUGCCUGGUGCAAAGAGCCUUCACCCAUCAGCCGAGUGUUGUUUAAGUCUUAAACUUAUGUGUGCUGUAACCAGAUUCUUUUAUUCAGCCUGACGAAAAAUAUUCUGUUUGAUGUUUUCACAGACAGCAUCUUAAGGCGUUACUUCGAUGACUUCUCUAGCGCUGCCCUUUCCGAAGUCAUUAUUACUCAUUAGGUAUAUUGUGCAGAAAGCAAAGUAGGUCACGGAUGAAAAGCCCCAUCUUAGCGAGAGGCACCGAUAUUGCACAAAGCUAUUUUCAACUUUCAUGAGAUAAAAAAUGUUUUCUGUAGGAUGAAAGCUGUCACUGCCAACUUACAAAUGAAUGCCAAAUGUUUCUGAGAACUAAUGUAUCAUGAAGGAUUUCCAAGGAUUUUCAGGCUGCAGCAGAUUUCUUAACCACUGACUCUGAAUUUCCUCAAAUGGACUUUUCAAGACAUCCUUGAAUUCAGCCAUGGCUCUUCCAGAAACCCCAAAGACCCCAGAGCACCCAAAACUGACCUCAGAAACUUGGAGACACAAAUGAUGGCCUGAUGGCCCUAUUUAUUUAUUUAACUGUGCAGCAUCAGAACGCUGUGACCCAAGAAGCAGUCAUCAAAGAAAGACAUGGAAUUGUUGAAUGUUUGUGAGUUGACCCAGUUUGAGUGUUUAUCUCUAUUCAAGUGCUCUAUGGUUUUAAAAAAAUAA